ACGCUUGAAGUCAGUCACGUCUGCCAGGACUCAGCCUCGCUUCUGCUUGGUGCACUUUCUGGUUUGAUGGGCCAACAUCAAUUUCGACCGUUGGAGAAAGGCUUUGGGAAUGUGGCACCUUCGGGUGUGUUAUAGCCCUUUGUCAUAUACAACGGUUGGGAUUGAGGACCGCAGCAUGCCUUUAUGGCCGGGGUUCGCCCACGUACGUGCUUAGGAUGUUGGCAUAAUGGCUUUAAGCGACCCGUCUUGAAACACGGACCAAGGAGUC
rnacentral:rRNA from 1 species